rnacentral:rRNA from 1 species
AACGGCGAACGGGUGAGUAACACUGGGCAACCUGCCCCUAGCACUGGGAUAACUCCGGGAAACCGGGGCUAAUACCGGAUACGACCUCUGAGGGCAUCCUCCGGAGGUGGAAAGCAUUGUGGCUAGGGAUGGGCCCGCGGCCUAUCAGCUUGUUGGUGAGGUAACGGCCCACCAAGGCGACGACGGGUAGCCGGCCUGAGAGGGCGACCGGCCACACUGGGACUGAGACACGGCCCAG